GAUGAACGCUGGCGGUAUGCCUAACACAUGCAAGUCGUACGAGAGUUUUUAACUCUAGUGGCGGACGGGUGAGUAACACGUGAGAAUUUGCCUUUAGGAGGGGGACAACAAUCGGAAACGAAUGCUAAUACCCCAUAUGCUUUCGAGUGAAAUGGAUUUUAUCCGCCUAGAGAGAAGCUCGCGGCUGAUUAGCUUGUUGGUAAGGUAAGAGCUUACCAAGGCGACGAUCAGUAUCUGGUUUGAGAGGACGAUCAGACACACUGGAACUGAGACACGGUCCAGACUCCUACGGGAGGCAGCAGUGGGGAAUUUCCGCAAUGGGC
rnacentral:rRNA from 1 species